rnacentral:tRNA from 1 species
CAGAGGGUAGUUUAAAAUAAAAUAUUAAUUUUGGGGAUUAAAGAAAAAAUUAUUUUUUCUCUGA